AUUGAACGCUGGCGGCAGGCUUAACACAUGCAAGUCGAGCGGAGAUGAGGUGCUUGCACCUUAUCUUAGCGGCGGACGGGUGAGUAAUGCUUAGGAAUCUGCCUAUUAGUGGGGGACAACAUUCCGAAAGGAAUGCUAAUACCGCAUACGUCCUACGGGAGAAAGCAGGGGAUCUUCGGACCUUGCGCUAAUAGAUGAGCCUAAGUCGGAUUAGCUAGUUGGUGGGGUAAAGGCCUACCAAGGCGACGAUCUGUAGCGGGUCUGAGAGGAUGGUCCGCAACACUGGGACUGAGACACGGCCCAGACUCCUACGCGAGGUAGAAGUGGGGAAUAUUGGACAAUGGGGGGAACCCUGAUCCAGCCAUGCCGCGUGUGUGAAGUAGGCCUUGUGGUUGUAAAGCUCUUUAAGCGAGGAGGAGGCUACUGAGACUAAUACUCUUGGAUAGUGGACGUUACUCGCAGAAUAAGCACCGGCUAACUCUGUGCCAGCAGCCGCGGUAAAAC
rnacentral:rRNA from 1 species